GACAAACGCUGGCGGAAUGUAUUAGGCAUGCAAGUCGCACGGACACUUCGGUGUUAGUGGCGGACGGGUGAGUAACACGUGGGUAACCUGCCUCGCAGUGGGGAAUAACUACCCGAAAGGGUAGCUAAUACCGCAUACCACUCCCGGUGAGAAUCCGGGUAGUAAAAGCCGUAAGGCGCUGUGAGAGGGGCUCGCGGCCGAUUAGCUUGUUGGUGGGGUAAUGGCCUACCAAGGCAACGAUCGGUAGCUGGUCUGAGAGGAUGGUCAGCCACACGGGGACUGAGAUACGGCCCGACUCCUACGGGAGGCAGCAGCUAAGAAUCUU
rnacentral:rRNA from 1 species